rnacentral:misc_RNA from 1 species
UUUUCCGAGACCAUCGUACAACGAUAAACCGAUUAUUUGAAUACACACGCACGCAGGAUAUACGGUUCGAAAAGGUAACGAUUAAAAAAUGAGAGAAAACGCAAUCAGCCAUGACGUCGGGGCCGCAUAAACUAGGAUCAAAAGUUCACGUUCAGAUUUCAGUAUACGUAACGUAGUAUACAUAUACGGAUACACACAGAUACCUAAUUACCAUUUAUUCACCGAUUAUUCGUAUUUAUAAUUUAAAACUGUGAAAUUGUGCAGUAACAGUGUGCAGUGUCUCGAGGUAAGGCCGGUUUUAAUUUAUUCGUUUGUUUUUGGAUCCUUCAAUUAUUCUCCUCUCAUCAACGCAUUCGAUAUUCCGAUGUACUUGAAAUUUUUCAAAUUUCAUACGUAUCAUGUAAUGUAGCUCGAUAUCUAUGUACCCUGUAUCCUAGUUGGCUUCUUAAAUUAGAAUUCGAUAUCAGAAAAUCCAAUUAAUCGAAAGUAUCGUGAUGUGUGAAAAAAAAAGACUUGGAAGCGUAGGAUAUCUGCGGUAUUGACGAUGAGACGCCGGAGCAAAAUGAAAAUAUAUAUGUACAAAUAACAAUACAAAACUCGAAUAACGAAGAUUCUGUUGUUGGUAUAUUUCAACCGUAUACUUGUGCGUUGCUUUUUCCAAAAGCGGUUUUCUGUCUCUGGCUACGAUGUGUAUGAGCUGUCGCCGCGUACCGUUCGUUUCCCACCUUAUCUCUCAUGACUUCUUAACCUGGCUCAGUCUCUUAUAACUAAUACGUUAUAUACUCGUAUGUGUCGUACACAUAUGCCAUAUAUAUGCAUACGAGAUAUCCAUGUGUAUACCUAUGCACAUUUAUAUGUAUACCAAUAUAGGCAUUGUACUAGUAUGUGUACGUGUAUGGCUUUGGACUUGUCGGCGAUAAUGUAUAAAUAUGGAAAUUCUAAAAAGUACAAAGGAAUGCGCUAAGGCGACUCUGAAGUUGUACCAUAUCACUACCACAUGCCUAUGUAUGUGUGUAUCAAGUCAAACUAAUCGACGUUAUUUUCAUGAUAUCUGCGUAUGUUUUUCCAAGUACGUAGAAUUAAGAUGAAAGUCUCAUUUAGAUUUCCAUAAGGAGUGUUCAAGAAGGAUCCCCGACUAUCAAUUGAUCGAUUUUUUUUUCUAUCAUCUCAUCGUAUAAUGUCUUUGCUUUUAUAAAUUUUUCACAGCUGGAAUUCGCCGAUGACACGUUGCUGCUGCUGCAGCACAGUUGCAAGGGUAUUAUAAUGCAAUUAUAAAAUGCAUCUUUGGCUUUGAUAAUCCGCAUGUACAACGAUACGGUGUAAUUCUAUGGGAACAGCUAUAUCUGAACGUUCGUUUUACAUACGCACCUAAAUAUCCAUUAUACAUGGUCAUACUUUUGUCAGAUACUUAUACAUAGGCGUGUGGUAUAAAAAUGUGUUUGUAUCUCAAAAGCAGAAGAAAAAAAGAAAAAGAAGCAGAAGAAGAAGAUGGAGAAGCGGAGAAGCGGAGUAGAUGGCAAGACCAACAUAUGGAGCGUGCGAAGAGGGAAUAGAAUGCAAGAAUUAACAUUCAUUUCUGUUCCAGUCUAUGCAUUAAUCCCCAUUUAUGUACACGCUCGGUAUAGCCUCUACGUAGCAUUUCGCGAACUAUAAUUCUACUUUCAUUCCCUUCGAUAUACAUCAUCCCAUUUGGAAUAGCAUAUGCCGCUUCAAUAAAAAUAAUCACCAGCUGAUCAGUUUUCAAAUUUUCAAAUCCCGUCUUGUAGUCGAAUAGUUUUUGUAUCGCGUCGUCACAUCGAAAGAAAGCCGUCCGCUUAUAAAAAUUCGAUUAUAACAAUAUACCGCAAGUACUCGUAAAACCGUUGGGACUUUCGGUAUAAGUAGAAUAAUCGAAAACGUGACUACACAUAAUUUGUUUGUAUUUGGGCGUGUUUCAAUGCUUCGUAUGGGACCAGUUUUUAAAAUACGUAACUGAAUUCCCCUCUACAGACUCAGCUAAGCCGCUCUUCUCUUCACUUCAAUUCCUUUCAUCUUUCUCUCAUUGUCAGUACUACUGCAACAGCCUGCAUUUCUUAAUUUCUAAUAAUUGGCCGUUGAAUAAAAUUCCCCGAAGUGUUUUCAGAAACGAAGAUGAUACGUGAAGGAACGCCCGCGCAUGUAAUAUAUAAAAUAUAGACACAUAGAUCUUCUGCUUUUGUCAAUUCUUGCUAUUUUAUGAAUUUUUUUACUUCCACGUAGAAUACACCGCAUGUUUAUUCAUGAGCGAAGAGGUCGGAAGAAACAAGAAGUGUAACGAUAUCGUCUUGAACGCAUUCUAUGAAGCGUCCAAAACCAGCACAGUAGGUGGCUUUAAUAAGGUACCAAGGCCGGUUCAAUGAAUCCUACCGUCCAUCCGUUCAUUGACCAUCAUUUUUUUUCUUUUUUUUUUCAACUGAUAUAUUUUACGGUAUAAUUCUAUUUCACUCUCCCGUUCGUGUCUCAAUAUAUUUUCUGCUCUGCAUGUGUGUAAAGGAAAUAUUGCACGAUGAUGGCGACGAUGAUCUCACACGGUACGGUAUACUUUAUGCCAUUAAUUAUUAAACGCUGACCGACCGACUAACUUGUAUAAUUUUACUCAUUCCACCGGCAUUGUACCCACAAAUUGCUUACCUCCAACUUUUAAAACACAUACAAUGGAUAAGCAAUGCUUCGCCGGGUCAUGGAUGGGUGAACACGCAGCAAUCGGAUACGACAGCAAUUAUCUAAUAAUUAAUCAUAACGGCAAAGCCGGCCGAAUACC